rnacentral:lncRNA from 1 species
CAAUGAGCUGCCUGAAGGAUUCAGUGUCUUGGUGUUCACAAGGCCCCAGCACAUCGUCUAGGACGUGAGACCCACACGCCGCCCUGACGGCACCUCAGUCUCCUCAGUUCACUGUUUCCCCUGGGGAAACAACCGGGAGGGCCUGCAGGAAAACACAGCAAACUAGAAAGUCCAGUUGGAAGAGAUUUCAGAUGUGCUACAGCCUCUGCAGCAGGAGUGAAGCUGGACCUCCAGGCUCCUGAUGACACUGAGGACUGUGGAGCUGAGUGACACCAGCCGGCAGGAGAGGCUGCGGCCGGAAGCAGAGGCUCUGGCCGGACUCCGGGGAGCACCAGCGACUGAGAGGCCACAUGGCAGGCAGGGGUGGGGGUGGGGGCUGCCUGCCCACACACUCUUUACAGCAGAAGCAGUGACAUUUCCCUUGCUGUGCCCAUAGCAGGGACGGGCCCAUGGCAGGUGCUGUGAGCAUAUGCUUGCCAGGUUCCUGAUGCGGAGCACAGCCAGCCCAGAGGGCCACAUUCUUGUCACUGCCCUUUGGAGACGCAGCUCAUGCCAAGCCCCUCACACCCCUCCCUGGGCUAUAACUUUGUGCUGCCUCAGAUGUUCAGGGUACUGUGCUUCAAGCCAUAUCAAAAGCUGGUUUGAAAAAUAAAGUCCUAUAGAGGUGC